rnacentral:rRNA from 1 species
GAGGAAUAAGCAUCGGCUAACUCCGUGCCAGCAGCCGCGGUAAUACGGGGGAUGCAAGCGUUAUCCGGAAUCAUUGGGCGUAAAGCGCCUGUAGGUUGUUUAAUAAGUCUGUUGUUAAAGACUAGGGCUUAACCCUAGAAAAGCAAUGGAAACUACUAGACUAGAGUAUGGCAGGGGUAGAGGGAAUUUCUAGUGUAGCGGUGAAAUGCGUAGAUAUUAGAAAGAACACCGGUGGCGAAAGCGCUCUACUGGACCAUUACUGACACUCAGAGGCGAAAGCUAGGGUAGCAAAAGGGAUUAGAUACCCCUGUAGUCCUAGCCGUAAACGAUGGAUACUACAUGUUGUGUUUAUUUCACAGUAUGGUAGCUAACGCGUUAAGCAUCCCGCCUGGGGAGUACGCUCGCAAGGGUGAAACUCAAAGGAAUUGACGGGGGCCCGCACAAGCGGUGGAGCAUGUGGUUUAAUUCGAUGCAACGCGAAGAACCUUACCAGGGCUUGACAUACUACAGAUUCUUUUGAGAGAGAGAAGUGCCUUCGGGAAUGUAGAUACAGGUGGUGCAUGGCUGUCGUCAGCUCGUGUCGUGAGAUGUUGGGUUAAGUCCCGCAACGAGCGCAGCCCUUAUUUUUAGUUACCAAUUCGUUGGGUUCUCUAGAAAGACUGCCGGUGACAAACCGGAGGAAGGUGAGGAUGACGUCAAGUCAGCAUGCCCCUUAUGUCCUGGGCUACACACGUGCUACAAUGGCUAAGACAAAGAGUUGCGAGCUCGCGAGAGUAAGCUAAUCUCAUAAACCGUGGCUCAGUUCAGAUCGUAGGCUGCAACUCGCCUGCGUGAAG